rnacentral:rRNA from 1 species
GACGAACGCUGGCGGCGUGCCUAAUACAUGCAAGUAGGACGCAGUUGCGAACGGGUGAGUAACGCGUAGGUAACUACCUAUUAGUGGGGGAUAACUAUUGGAAACGAUAGCUAAUACCGCCUACUAGUAGAUGGACCUGCGUUGUAUUAGCUAGUAGGUAGGGUAAUGGCCUACCUAGGCAACGAUACAUAGCCGGCCUGGGAGGGUGAUCGGGCAAACGGGGACUGGGACACGGCCCAGACUCCUACGGGGGGGAGCAGUAGGGGAUCUUCGGCAAUGGGGGGAACCCUGACCGAGCAACGCCGCGGGAGUGAAGAAGGUUUUCGGGGCGUAAAGCUCUGUUGUUAAGGGAGCGGUACUUAACCAGAAAGGAACGGCUAACUACGUGCCAGCCGCCGCGGUAAUUC